rnacentral:lncRNA from 1 species
UUCAAGCCAACCAAGAGAGAUUUAGUCUGCUGUCCAGCUAACCUCAACAAUUUCACGCACUUUUCUAUUAUACUCUCGUUUGCUCUCGCUAAACAAACGUGCUGCUUCAGAGUUGGCAGGCGAGUUCGGAUUUGGAUCACAGAGCAGUGACUGCAAUAAUCAAAUAUAAUUUAUGAGCUGAUAAGUUUUAAACAGUCAGAGGUAAAGUGAGUAAAACUUCAACCUUUCCAAACAUUUAUACCGAUAGCUUUCAGUUGGGUAUUUUACACUGAAUGCAUAUUUUUAGUGACCAUGGUUGGAUCUCUAAUAUAGGGAUUGAACAUUCCAUAUAGCUACAAGGAAUGGAUCCUCAACACAGUGAAAUAGAAUAAAGUGAAAGUAAAAUUGUAAGGGGUACACACAGGAAUUAAUGCAUAUACUGUGUGAUGGUAUGUGAAUAUGUGUAUAGUUUAACUGCUUCUCAUUGGCUCCACCCAAAAUAAGCAACCAAUAAUGUCUUCAGGACUCACAUAAGCAAGGAAAUAACCUAGCAUAGUUCUCUCAUUUUGUGCACAUCAAGAUGAUCAGAUCACCAAAAAGGGCAUGAAUGACAGAAAUACAAAAGGAUAGGACCAAAAACUCAAAAGUUGGAAGACCUCAAAUGUUUUGCUAAAUUCAAUUAUUGUUUUCAUAGAGUAACCAUAUUUACGAAACUGCUCAAGGUGUCUCUAACCUCAGAAUGUUGCCUUCUAAUCACUAUAUAGCAUAUGACAAAAAAAUUAGCAACGGUAUCAAUCACAUUAUUUUUCGUUGAAAUGGUCAACAUCAGAACUAAUGUAUCAAUAUAGUCAAUUAGUCACACAAUCACAUCUCCAGUGAGGCCUGUGCCUUUGGCCUCUGAUUAUUGCAUGCUACACUAUAGUAAAAAUAAUUACUAACCAAAUCUAUACUAUACUGUUAAAGCCAAAACAUUAAAAAAAAUUGGCCAGUCGGUAUUUGGGCCGAUUUAUGGGUUUUUUAUUUAUAACAUGUUUUAAUAGGCUUUUAUGAUAUAUUUAUAACUAAAACAUAUCUCUUGGGCUUCUUUAUAUAUAAAUCUUUUGACGUGUAUUUAUGAGCCUCUUUAUUUCACAGACUUUUUAUUGUAACUAAAACACAUUUAAACAUCCUCAUCAAAACAUUUUUGUUGGACCUAUAUAUAUUUAAGUCUUUUGACGGGUUUAAUUACUAGAUACUCCCUCCGUUUUUCUUUUGCAAGUCAUUUCACUUUUUGGCAAACACUUCCAAGUACUUCGACUACAUAGUAAGAAAAAUUAUUUUUAAAAUUUUCUUUUAAAUAAAAAUUGUAUACUUUUAUUCACAAAAAGGAAAUUUAAACAUAAUAAGUUUAAAUAGGUAGUCAAAGCACUUGAUAAUGUGUGCCAAAAAGUCAAACGACUUUUAAAAGAAAGUGGAGGGAGUACUUAUUUAACAUGCCCGGUAAAAUAUAUAUUGACCGCCCGUUAAUAUUUGAAAAACUUAAUUUGAUUAAAUUAGGCAUAUUAAGUCUCACAUUAAUGCAUCUUCAAAACACAAUUAUAUAUUGUAAUAUAUACAAUAAAAGAACAAAGAUUGUAUGUCACCCGUGCAUCACACGGGCUAUAAGCUAGUACAUAUUUAAACAGCAGCAGCAGCAACUAAUCAAGGGGCGUUAAAUGUACGGCAAGAUAUAAGCAGUCAUAAGUAUGCAGCGUCAGAUUUAUAAACUUCAACAUUGUGAUGACUACAUUAGGUUUUCCUGAACAAGCUUCCAGGAUCAACAGGUGUAAACUUUUUAAAAUGCUUGCAGAAUAAACGAGUAACUAUAUGUCCAAUGACACACAGCUCUUCAAUGUUUCUCAACAAUAAUAGGCAUUAAAUGUGAUUAAUUUUAAUUUGUGUUUUUUUCUUUUUACAGUGUAUUUGUAUGGACGCAAUUAGCUAAAAGCUCAAGUCAUACAUCUAGCUCAACGACCAGUAAUGUCGGCAUUAGUUUCACCGAUUAAUACAGCAGUACAAGACAAAACUAUAAUAAUAAAUCAUAAGUUGACUUCUUAAAAUAUAUUUUCAAGUACUAAUAGUAUAAAUUUAGGCACUCUACCUGGAUGGAUGUAAGUAUCGCAGCUGCAUCAUAUAUCGGACUCCACUGAUUUUGCAAUAUAUCCAAGCAGAUGCUUCCAUCUGCAUAAACUGUUUGAAGAAACAAGACCAUAAACAAGAAGCAAAGAAAAUCCUUACAUCAUACUUGAUUAGAGUAGAACAUUAAAUAAUUGUAUAUGAACUAUGCAUAUGGUAUCAUGGAUGCUGCAAAAUUUAAUACAAGGUAUAGUAAAACAUACAUCCAAGCUAAAUAUUAGUUACACACAGUAUAAACUCUAAUUGGAAUUACUGUGCAAAACAAAAUACAGAAUUGAAGACCUGCAAUACUCACUCUUCCAACUCUAUAAUAGAUGAUUUAAUUUAAGAGAAGGAAGCUUGAUCUAAUUCAACAUUGACACUAUUAAUGACAUGCACAAAGACAUUCUGCCUUAAAUUUAACACCCUAAUUAAAUCUAAUGUUAAAUAUUCAACUAGUAUCUGACUUGCUACUGGUUGAGGAUAGAGAUGUAAACAAGAAACUUCAAUGAUACUCUUGCAGGUAACAAUUCAAUCCAAUAUCAUGAUUGUAAUGCCGUUGACAUUGUUGUUCGAAAAUUAUGAUUUCCUACAGCCAGAAACAGAUCAUACAGAUAUACCCAACACCAGAACAAUUUAAAGGACAAGGUGAGAUACAAAAAUCAAACCAGGGAUUUCAAGUACACUAUACUUUGAAUACACAAUCUUUCGUACAGGCAGUAACACCUUAUCUUCAAGAUUGAUACAAGAAAAAUGAUGAUAAAAUAACUACUGAGUUCCAACAAUCUAACUAGCAAAAGAAUCGUGAACUGCUCAGAUUAAUUUGGGGUGUGCAACGUACAUACCCCAACAUGACAAGAGUGAAAGUAGAGACUUUUACGGCAAGUUCUAGCAAACAAUAUGUUUUAAAGGCGUGUGAUGUGAAUGAUGUCAGGUAUGCAAUAAUAUGAAAGUGAUAUUGAUUUACACAUCCAUUUGGGGAUAUACUUUCCAUUUUUUUAACAUUAAGAAAAUUAGGCAUACCAGGAACUUACUGUGAAAAGUAUGAGGAAAAUAUAGCUGUGUUUUUAUAAUUAUAACGUGAAAAGCUAACUUGUUUUGUAAAUAAAAAUUGGUCAAGAUUAAUUCAUGAAAGGACUUUCAGUCCUUAAUGAUGAUAUCAAUAAUAUGUGCAAAAUUUAAGAUGAUAACUAAAUAUUCAUUACGAAUGUGAAUGUUGUAGUUCUCAAGUAAAACACUAGUAUCCUAGUUGUUACUCUGUGCACUGCCCAGAAACAUCGAAGUGCUCUGAAGUCCCUAUUCCUUGAUCAUAAAUCUCUACAAUAAUUACAGGAAUAAGUGGAAUGCUAUGGCUCUAUCAAUUCUUACUGUUUGGAUGGAACAUCCUUGACACAAACCGCACAACAGGAGGCUUAUUUGGGUAGUCCUCCGUAAACUGAAGAGUUAACUUGAACGUACCUGAAACCAAGACAAGACAUUUAGAGUGUUAUAUCAGGAAAUACUGUAUAAGAAUCAUAUGACAAAAAGCCUCUUCUUAAAACUUCAGAAAUUAGCAACACAGGUCCAUAAUCAGGUAACUUCGACCAAUUGAAUCAUUGUUAUCAGAUAGGACAGGGCAAUACCACAAAUGUAAUACUAACGUUUAAUAUAUAGUCACAUGUUACACGUCAGAUCAAGCAGGUUCAUGGUAUGUAUAACACCACCAAGGUCAACAAGUUCACAAUAUGCAGGAGCAAGGUCAUUAAUGGUUGUUAAUCAUGAUAUAUCAAGUCUAUAAUAACCAACAAUAAAGUAAACAUUGACCAUCUAAACUUCGGCAAAUUUUAGCUACUUCAGGCAGUCUAUGAUAACAUAGUUGAUAGUAUUAACUUUCAAAACACUAAUAACGGCUGUAGUUUAAAUUCUUACCUCCAUCCCAAGGGGUAUCAUCAGGCCUGCAUAACAAAACCGAAAUUAGAAACCAAUUGAGCAUAUAAUUAACUCAAAGCAGUGCUUAAAAAUACAUAUAUGUUGCUAACAUCCACAAUUGAGAAUCAUACCCAAAAAUAACAGCAUUCCAGAGCAUAAUAUUGUUAUCUUGAGGUGCCCCACUGAUACCAGCAGGUGGAUCUUGCUGCAGCCUCUUGAAAUCCCUCAUCAAUCUCUUCCUUGCCGGCGUCGACAUCUAUAUCAAAUUCAAAACCCAACAAAAAACACCUUCAAUUCCCCCACCUCACAUCACAUACCCUAAUUAAAAACAUCUCAAUCCCCAAGUCAAAGCUACACAAUUUCAGCACAUAAAUCAUCACAAAGUACGCAAGAUUCAACAAAUACUCAUACCCAUCACAAGAUUCCUAAAAAGAUUACAACUUCACAACACCAUCAAGAACCCAGAUCCAUAAUCUAACUCUUUCCCCCAAAACAAACACUUUAAUUGAAAAGACUAUCAUUUUCAACAGAUGUAAAUAUAGAUACAAACAGAAGAUGAUACACACAGCAUGUAAAAGAGUGAAAAGAGCGGAGAGAUGAAUGAAG